rnacentral:rRNA from 1 species
ACGAACGCUGGCGGCGUGCUUCACCCCUGCAGGUCGAACGGAAAGGCCCUGCUUUUGUGGGGUGCUCGAGUGGCGAACGGGUGAGUAACACGUGAGUAACCUGCCCUUGACUUUGGGAUAACUUCAGGAAACUGGGGCUAAUACCGGAUAGGAGCUCCUGCUGCAUGGUGGGGGUUGGAAAGUUUCGGCGGUUGGGGAUGGACUCGCGGCUUAUCAGCUUGUUGGUGGGGUAGUGGCUUACCAAGGCUUUGACGGGUAGCCGGCCUGAGAGGGUGACCGGCCACAUUGGGACUGAGAUACGGCCCAGACUCCUACGGGAGGCAGCAGUGGGGAAUAUUGCACAAUGGGCGGAAGCCUGAUGCAGCAACGCCGCGUGCGGGAUGACGGCCUUCGGGUUGUAAACCGCUUUCGCCUGUGACGAAGCGUGAGUGACGGUAAUGGGUAAAGAAGCACCGGCUAACUACGUG